AGUUGUAACAUUGAGAAGUGUAAAAAAUUACAUUAUAUGCCAUUUACAAAAUUUCUAAUCAUAAACAUAAUUAUUCCACGUCAUUCAUUUUAAUCUUCCCUUUACAAAUCUUAUAAAAAAAUGUGUAUCUUUUUAGACUUCAAAUGAAACAGAACUUGAGCUAUAUAUAAGCGAAAUUUCAUAUUCCUAAACCCUAAACUCAGAUCAUUCGAUCUUCUUCUUUCUUACAAGUGCUCACGUUCUAUCACAUUCAGGUAUUGUUGAGCUUCUACUAGGUUAAAGAACCUGUAAAUUGUAAUAUUGGAAAGUUGAUCUUAAUUAUGUGAUCUCUCUUCUCUAUCUAUUUCUGAAUUUUGGAAAGAAGAUGUUGACUUGACGCUUUAGGUUCCUUCAAGUGCUGAAACUGCAAGUGUAUCUUCUUUUAAGCUUCCACUAGGUUAUAGAUACAGUGAGUUUCAUUACACUCUUUGCACUUAACCAUUAAUCGCUUUCUUCUGGUUGUGUAUAUUGCUCGUUUCGGUUAAACCAGCACUUAAACCAAUCGUGCUUAGCUUAAUAGCUUAUUGAUGUAUCAUGCACAACUAUUAAAGGAUUUAUUUGCAUCUUAGUAUUAUGUUAACUUGUCUUUUUUCGUUUUUGAUUUUAUUGUUAAAUUAACAUUUUUGGUUAUGUUAAGUUUGAUUUCCAAGUUUUAGAGAUAAGGCAAUUAGAAAUUGUAUAUAUACACUCUUCUUAAUUAUGAGAUUACUAUACAGAAUAACUCUUUUUUUUUUGGUUAGAAAUCUUGUACUAAGAAAAGAGGACGUGAGAAAAAGUUUUGAUGUACAUCUGGUGGAGAAACAAUACGGAGGAGCAUUGUGAGCAUUAUUCGGCUCAUGAUAUUAAGAGGGAUUUUUUUACCUAUCUUUUUAUAAGUAUGGGCGUUACCAUCAUCCUAUACUUCUUAUUCAUUUUAUGCAGAUACUUGUGGACUCGGUGGACUGCCGACCGGUGACUCUAUUUGUCUUCAUGGUGGACUGCCGACCGGUGACAGGAUGUGCCCAGUAGAACAUCAUACACAUAAUUAUGUAUCGAUUUUUUUUUUAAUGAAUUAUUUUAUGAUGAGGAUUUUAUUUUAGUAAGCUAUAUAAUUAGCAUAUAUCAAUAUAUUUAUUUCGCUAUUUAGCAAUUAAGUUUUUUUUUUUGUGGCUUUUUAUAUUCAAUGAUAUUGUAACUCUAUAUAAGC
rnacentral:lncRNA from 1 species